UAACAUAUCUAUGUAUGCCUGAUUUUACCAAAUAUGUAUGUGUAAUUAGGUUAUUUUCAAGAAAGCUAUAGAAAUUGCAUUUAGUAAGCUUUAUUUGUAUUGUACAUACUUAACGUAUAACAACAUUUGUGUAGAUACAAUUUUCCAAAAAACAACAUCAUGAAUUCUACAAAUGUAAUUUCAGAACAGAAUUUGACGCACCGUAAUGACUUCAAAUGUCAGUACAAUUUAAUUACUAUGCCGCAAUUUCCGCGUGCCGGUUGCCGCAUACCGUUGACAGACAGGUUAUUUGAUUUUUACUAUAAUGGACGAUGUAGAAGCUCCAAUUUUUUACGACGAUGAGGGUGAUUUUAUUGGGCACGAGUAUUUCCAAGAUACAGAUUAUGAGUACGAGUACGAGGAAAAUGCUGAAAGAGAAACGUUGCUGGAAUUAUAUCAAUAUUGUCUUGGUCCCACUGUUUAUGAUACAGCAUUAUAUAUGCUACCCCUAUUUGUUUCCAUGAUUUUAUUUCGAUUAUGUGCUCGUUCUCAAUAUGUAACGCAUAAAACUUUUCAUGUAUUGUCAAUGUUAAUUGGCGUGUACAAUAUUUAUCACUAUGUGACAGAAUGUUUAUAUAUAUUACUAGUACUUUGUAUAUUUUCAUAUAUCACUUUACGCGUACUUAACAAAUACUAUAAAAGUUUAGGAAUAUUCUUACCGCCCCUUUUCAUUAUUGUAUAUUGCGAAUUUUCUAUGCCUCCAGUAAUAUGGCAUAAAAUACGCAGUGUUGUAAUGACCAUGGCAAUGAAAACCAUUAGCUUAGCGGUGGAUAAAAUCGAUUCGAAUGAUUUACCAGAUAUUUACAGUUACAUGGGAUAUGCUUUCUGUGGUGUCACAUGUGUAUUUGGUCCGUGGAUAUCGUUCAAGGAUUAUGUUUCAUUACGGUAUAUAAAUCAUCAGGAUAAAUGGUGGAUACUGUACACUGCUCAAUUCAUAUUUUUAUCUUUUUUGUUUUUAACUAUGUCAAACUGUUGGACACAGUGGAUAGUAAUGGACAGCUCUUGGAAGUGGUUGUUAGCAUAUAGAGAUGCACUAUCUUUCCGAACGUCUCAUUACUUUAUUUCAUACAUAGCAUCCACCGCAUUAUUAAUAGGAGGAUUUCCAUAUUCUCUAGCUACUUUAGUAAAACCACUGAAAGUAGAAUUUCCAAGGUCGCUUGUACAAGUAGUUAUUUAUUGGAAUAUACCCAUGCAUUUUUGGUUGAAGACAUAUAUAUUCCGUCCCAAUAUUAAACACAUAGGAAAAUUCGGAGCUGUGACCGUAACAUAUUUAACCAGUGCUCUUCUACACGGAUUAAAUUUUCAAUUGGCAGCAGUUUUACUUAGUCUUGGAUUUUAUACGUACGUAGAAUUUCAGCUUAGAUCUAUGCUUGCAAAUAUUUUCGACGCAUGCAUAGCAUCCAAGCAAUGUACUAAAAAUAAAUGUACACAUAUGUACAAAUGUCAGAAUUCUUGGUGGGUUCUUUUUAUAAACUUAAUGUUUUCUGGGUUGUCAGUUUUCCAUUUAGCAUAUUUAGGUCUUAUGUUCGAUACAUCCGAAUUACAAGAGACAGGGUACAGUUAUAUUCAUACUAUCGAAAAAUGGUCUCAACUUGGAUUUGCUAGCCAUUGGGUAAUUUUUGCUACGUACUUUGUGUACUUUUUAAUUAAGUAAAAACAGUACCGAACUAUCUUUGAAAUCUCUAUUAUCUUUAAACGAUUUGCUCACAGUUAACUGUCCUAAAUGAACAAAUUAUUAGUAUUAUUUUAAGUUAUUUAAAUGAAUAGUGAUAAUAUGCUGUGGAUUUUACAUUUUUGUACUAACAUUUCAUCUUUUUGAUGAAUUUUUAAAGUUUGCUACGAUAAUAAAGAUAGAAGAAAAAGAAAACAAAUAAGUAUUAUGUAUUAUACUAUUAUUAAGCAACAUUACUAAGAAGAUCUUUAGAUUCCAGCAAUUUCAGGGUUCUAUAAGUAUACCAUGCAAAAAAGUUUAUUUAUGUGUGUGAAUAUGAAAAUUUGAACAUGCUGUGAAUGCUUUGAACUACUUGCGACAAGUAGCGCUACCUGUGGUGAAAUUUCGAAACAGAGUUAAGGGUUCUAUACCACAUAGUGACAAAACGCUCAAACUGUUCGCCAAGAUUAUCUACAAAUGAUAAUUUUUGAAGAUUUAAUAUUUUGACACAGAUGGCACUAAUAGGCUAAAUCCACUAAGAAUACACUCAAACCUCAGACGAGAUACAGGAGAGAGACUUCACACCCAUAUGCUGUCCACCCUACCUUGAUACCUCGUUUGUGCUCUUACAAAGAUUGAAUGGCGCUACUCUACAUUUCCAGAGAUUAGUUUUCUCUGUCGAUAAAUUUGUGUAAUAGUUUAAGCAUAUUGUCACUGCGUGUAAUUUUAUUAACUCUUGAAGGAGGCGCGGCAAAUUUGAAAUAGUUAAUGUGAGAAUGUUCGUCACAUCGGUAUACUUGACGUAUACUGAAGAAAAUCGUGAAAAAUAUCUCAAAUGUGUGUGUAUGUGUGUGUAUGUACACGUAAAUACAUAAAAUACGUUAUAGUGCAUGAUAAAAACAGAGGAAACAGUAUGUAUGCAUGUAUGUAUACAAUUCUAGAAGUAAGUAAAAUACAUAGUUUUUAUUAAAUGUACAAUACAAUAUAAAGUAUGUUUACAUGUGUAUAGAAAA